CCCUUAGAUGUUCUGGGCUGCACGCGUGUUACAAUCGGGAGUACAACAAGAUUGCAAAUCCUAGUGGAUGAGUGGUUCUUCGAAAUUUUCUGAAGACUGGGAUAGUUGAUUGAAAUUAUUCAACUCGAACGAGGAAUUCCUUGUAAUUGUAAUUCAUUAUAUUGUAAUGAAUACGUCCCUGCCCUUUGUACACACCGCCCGUCGCUCCUACCGAUUGAACGAUCCGGUGAAUUAUUUGGAGUAGCUCUGGAAGUUGCAGAACUUCCUAUGUCACGAAAUUUUGUAAACCUUAUCGUUUAGAGGAAGGAUAAGUCGUAACA
rnacentral:rRNA from 1 species